CAGGAGGCUGGGUCCACCAGGAAGGGCUGGUGCAGCUUCUUUCUUGGACACAUAGCUCAUUGUUGCUGGGAACAACCUGCUCUCUCUCUGGCCCAGGGUUCACAAGCAUGAGUGUGCUCUUGCAGCAGCAUUAUCUAGGACUAUGGGACUUACAGAAUUCUGCAGGCUGCCAUGUAAACCCCUUCAUUUUGGAUUACUUCAUUAAGAAAUAAAAAUAAGAGUCGAUUCCAGCUCAUGGCGACCCC